rnacentral:rRNA from 1 species
AUUCGAUGCAACGCGAAGAACCUUACCAGGUCUUGACAUCCCUCUGACCGCUCUAGAGAUAGAGUUUUCCUUCGGGACAGAGGUGACAGGUGGUGCAUGGUUGUCGUCAGCUCGUGUCGUGAGAUGUUGGGUUAAGUCCCGCAACGAGCGCAACCCCUAUUGUUAGUUGCCAUCAUUGAGUUGGGCACUCUAGCGAGACUGCCGGUAAUAAACCGGAGGAAGGUGGGGAUGACGUCAAAUCAUCAUGCCCCUUAUGCUUAGGGCUACACACGUGCUACAAUGGGUGGUACAGAGGGUUGCCAAACCGUGAGGUGGAGCCAAUCCCUUAAAGCCAUUCUCAGUUCGGAUUGUAGGCUGAAACUCGCCUACAUGAAGCUGGAGUUACUAGUAAUCGCAGAUCAGAAUGCUGCGGUGAAUACGUUCCCGGGCCUAGUACAC